AUUGAACGCUGGCGGCAUGCUUUACACAUGCAAGUCGAACGGUAACAGGGUGCUUGCACCGCUGACGAGUGGCGAACGGGUGAGUAAUACAUCGGAAUGUACCCAGUAAUGGGGGAUAACGCUUCGAAAGGAUUGCUAAUACCGCAUACGCCCUGAGGGGGAAAGUGGGGGACCGCCAGGUCUCACGUCAGUGGAGCAGCCGAGGGCUGACUAGCUAGUUGGUGAGGUAAAGGCUCACCAAGGCGACGAUCAGUAGCGGGUCUUAGAGGACGAUCCGCCACACUGGAACUGAGACACGGUCCAGACUCCUACGGGAGGCAGCAGUGGGGAAUCUUGGACAAUGGGCGAAAGCCUGAUCCAGCAAUGCCGCGUGCGUGAAGAAGGCCUUCGGGUUGUAAAGCGCUUUUGUCUGGGUGCAAAUCCUGGCCUCUAAUACAGGUCGGGGAUGAGAGUACCAGAAGAAUAAGGACCGGCUAACUACGUGCCAGCAGCCGCAGUAAGAC
rnacentral:rRNA from 1 species